AUGGAUUUCUUCAAAAUGGCGUUAACUCUACAUUUGACCUUCAUUGUGGCGAUUAUCGGUCCUCUCAUUUCCAGCACAGUAUCCAGUGACCAACCAAUAACAAAAAAAGUCAUGAAAGGAAAAUCUGUUGAGCUGGAAACACAAAAUAACUUGUCAUUUGAUCAUUUUGAAUGGAUAAAAGAUAAAUCAGAGAUUGUAGUCACAUAUGAUUCUAAAACAGGACAUACUGUAUCUUCCCAUGAGAGAGUGGAUUUUAAUAAACAAACACUUUCUCUAACAAUAAAGAACACACAGGAGACAGACAGUGGACUCUACACUGCUAGAGCAAGUGGAGAAUCAGAUACUACCAUCAGUCUCUACAAUGUAAUUGUUGUAGGUACAAGCAGUCAAGCAUCAACUACAGAAUCUCUCACUUGGAUUAUAUUCCUUUUCCCCUUUGGUGCAAUUAUGAUUUGAGCCAACUACUGUACUAUAGCUACAGAUGAACAAAAAAGUAAACUUUUCUGCUGUCUCCCAUUUUCCUGCAUUCCAGUUUCCUGACACUGUUUUGGAUAUUUUGGAAAUUACACCCACGAUG